AACAACAAGGUUUCUCAGAUGUAUUUUCAAGAGGAUCUUACCUUACACCAAAGGAAGGAGAUGCUGCUUUCAAUCAACAAUGGAUAAUUCUCUUGAAUCCAGAGUAUCUUCAUCUUCAAGCAAUGAAAUCAAUACUAACUAUUGAUUCAACUUUCAUUAAGCAAGUUUAGUCAAGUAUGUCUUUUGAUCCUCUUAUUCGUUGUCGUAUUAUGUGGCGUUUGGCUUGAGAAUGCAUUGGAGACUUCGCUGUGGAAGAUAAAAGAAAAAAUUGCAACAACAAGCCUUAACAAUCUUAACCAAAUCCUAAUCAAAAUCCUAAAUAAAUCUUAACGAAGUCCUAAAUAAUCCUAAACAAACUCUAACCAAAUCCUAAACAAUCAUAAAAAAAUUCUAACCAAAUCUUAACCAAAUCCUAAAUAACCCUAAAUAAAUUCUAACCAAAUCUUAAACAAACUCUAAAUAAAUCCUAAAUAACUCUAAAUAAAUUCUAACCAAAUCCUAAUAAAAACCUAAACAACCUAAAAUAAAUCCUAACCCUAAAUCAAAUCUUAAAUAAAUCCUAAAUCCAAAAUCAAAUCCUAACUUAAUCCUAAUCUUAAAUAUAAUAUAUUUAUUAUAGAUUAAAUUCUAAAUUUUUAAUUGAAUCUUAACCAAACUCUAAAUCCUAAAUCAAAUCCUAAUAAUUCCUACAACAAAUUUAAACCUCAAUUACUAAUGAAUGAACCAUUGAUCUUUAUUCAAAAUUUUCAUGCUUUUUAAAAAUUAAGUUGAAAAUAAGCACAGUUUUUUUUUAAAAAAGAUCAAAAUUACCUAAUAGACGAUAGCUUCAAAAACGUGCUUGGAUAUUGGCCGGCCUCCUUCUUUGACCUUGAUGCCAAUCUCUCAAAGCCAAUAUCUCUUCUUUUCACUAAUUUAUUGAUUUUAAAAUUCUUAUACACAUAGGAAAACAAGUCUAAUAUCCUCUCAUAUAAAUUUCACUCUA
rnacentral:lncRNA from 1 species